CUACCCUAGAGUCUGGAAUAACCUGCGAAAGGCGGGCUAAUACUGGAUAGAGCGACGGGAUCCGCAAUUGGGUCUUUCGGGAAAGGGAGCUCGCAAGAGCCUUCGCUUUAGGAUGAGCCUGCGUCUCAUUAGCUAGUUGGUGGGGUAACGGCUCACCAAGGCAUUGAUGGGUAGCUGGUCUGAGAGGAUGGCCAGCCACACUGGAACUGAAACACGGUCCAG
rnacentral:rRNA from 1 species